UGAGCUGAGAUCAUGCCGCUACGCUGCAGCCUGGGCAACAGAGCAAGACUCCAUCUCAAACAAAAAAAAUUAUUUGUGAGCUUAACAAUUGAGAGUCUCCUCGUCUGCCCUAAACUUGUCGAAAUGAUUAUUCAAAUCAACAAAUAACUCUUGAAAUCUGUAUGCAUAAGGGAAUAAAUGCUAUAUACUGUCAGGGAUACAGAAAAGUUUAAUCAGGGCUGGGCAGAAAUUUACAAUCCAGAAAGGGAGAAGGGCAGAUCUGAGGGAGGGGCACAUUGGGGAGAAGGAAUGGCUAUAAUAAAUGAUCAGAAGAAGGAAUUUGCAUGGGAUGUAGAAAUCUGCCAAUUUAGCUUGAGUGGAAUUCUUAUAGAGGAGGACUAGAAAAUGGUUUAGGAUGUUUCAUGAAAGAUUUCACAUGCAGGCUAAAUUUGGAUUUUAUUUUCUUGUGUUUAUUAUUUUAAUAAUAAUAUUUUAUGUUUUGGUUAGAGUUUUCUAUGGUUACAAAGGUAUAUACUUUAUAAUUUAUAAAUAGUCUAAAGAAUUUGGUGUAUAUUUGAUUAACAGUUACAUGGAGGUAUCACAUUCUGAUUUAUAUUAUUGUGACACUAAAGAUAUAAAAUAAAUAACUAUUUUGGAAAUUUGGCUUAAAAACAUAACCAUUUGGUUUUUAGUAAAGCUUCUCUGCACCCACCAUCACAUUGGCCAUAAUCUAUAGUAGCAUAAAUAAAGAUACUUUCUAAUAUUGUCCAGCAUAACUUUGUACUUGCUUUUGAGCUCCUGUAUUUUAUAAAGCAAAACAUGGCCUGUACAUUAUAUGAGCUCUUCUGAACUGGGAAAGUGUUCAGUUUUGUUUGCUGUGAAAUUGAUUCUGGCUUUUGGAAUGCCACCCCAGAGUAACUGAGGUUUCUGUUGCUCCUGCUUACUUGUUAUUGCUUGAACCGAGAGUCCUGCCUGGUUAGCUGGCCGGAGGGUGCUGUGGUCAGGGGGAGUCCAGUUCACAGUCUCUGGACCAAAUGGUGUGACAUUGCAUGCCCUUUGUCAACAGAUUGCAUAAUUAGUAAGGAGCUUGUAAUUGCACAUUUUACCAAAAGAAAGAUGAAUUCUUCCCCGAGUGUGUAUCUGUUGUCCUGUUCUUGUACUUUUUGCCAAACAAGCACUGUUUAUAGGUGAGCUGCUUGGACUCAGCCCAGGUGAGAGAAGACAUACGUCUUAGGACUUCUGAAUAGUCUGUGAACUAGGGUUUGUUUAUUCCUAAAUAUUAUUUUGCAUUUUCCCUGAACACAAAUAUUGAUAACUAGUGAUAAAAAGGGAUUAAGUAUUUGUCACUCGGUCAAAUCAAAAGCCAUAUUUAAGGCUCUACUAGGUGCAAGGGCAUUUGACUGUGAGAUAACUGUGUCAUUUCUUAGUUUACAAAAGAAAGAAUUUUUAUCCCUGUUAUUUUAUGGCUUCCUUUUUUUUUUAAGUUUAUUAUUUUAAAACUUUUACUUUAGGUUCAGGGGCACAUGUGCAGGUUUGUUUAUAGGUAAACUCGUGUCAUGGGGGUUUGGUGUACAGAUUAUUUUGUCACUCAGGUACUAAGCCUAGUACCCAGUAGUUAUUUUUUCUUACCUUCUUCCCCCCCACCCUCCUUCCGCCCUCUUUAUACCGAUGUGCUUUUCUGAUGGAUCUUUGCUUUGGUGUUGAAAUCAGCUCUUAAUUAAAAAGGAAAGGAUAUAAAGUGCCUGUGUUUAUGUGGCCAAGGAACUGUCUUUGAGUUACAGCUGAGGGAGUGGAUCUCAGGGUUUGGAAUCCUUGAUUUUUUACUGUCUGAACUUGGCAGUUGGGGUUCUUCCUGCGUUGCCUGUUACUAGUUAUUUCAUAUUUGUUUGCCUUAUUUUCUCAGAUUGAAAAUUAUCUUACAGUAAGCAAGCUUCUUCCUUUAUAAUUCUUUAUCUCCUCCGUAACAUGCCAGACAUGUUGUAGAAGCUUUUGUUUAUUGAGUGAAUUACUCCAGAUAGCGGAUCAUAGUAUCCUUUGAUAGUUGGCUUAUAAUCUCUAUGAACUGUGAAAUAAGGGUGGUAUUGUGGCAAUUUCAAAGUAUUGAUAGGCCAUUGCUCUCUUUGCCAGUCCUGGGAAGAGAAAAGAAUCUGAUACAAUGCUUCUUCAUGUAGUGAAUUUUAAGACAGUUGUCUAAGAGAACUCCGCCUCACCUUGGGCCAAUGUUGAGUGGACAGUUGCACCUUUUUUUUUUUGUAAACCAGUUUUUCCUUUUAGACUUGAAAGUCCUGAUAACCAGGGCUUAUUUAGCACCUUGGCUGCAGCUGUCUCUGACAAACUAGCCAGGCGUUUUGAGGCCUGACACCUGUGUUUCCCUUUCGCCUAGCAUGGAGGGGUUAUGAGAGGAUGUAUUGCUACAGUGCCUUUUGUCCUCUCUAAGCAAUUCUGAGAAAGAACUUGUCACAGGAAAGUACCUCGUUAAACACAUUUGACACUUUCUGAAUUUUCUGUACUUCCUGAAUAAUCCAAGGUCCCAGAAGCCAUUUUUCAUUUUCCUGAAAAAUGUAGCCAGGAUUCUGGAAAACUUGCCAACUUAUUGUUGCCCUUGAUCAAGGAAUAAAACAUUACUACUUUGUGCAACAUGAGUGAAUUUUCUUAGUUUACAAAAUGCCAAAAGGCUGAUUUCAUUUUAGUAUUUCCCACCUAGAUAAUAAAUACAUAAUAGAGGCAGAAUUAAUAAAUACAUAUUCUUAUCUACCCCUCUGAAGAGCUCUAUCAGUCAAGGUUCUCUGCUUGCAAGCAACAGAAACCAACACUGGCUAACUUAAGCAGAAAAUGAAUUUAUCUGAAAAUGGACUCACUGGGAGAAGGGAGUAGAAGCUGAAGGAUGGCCUCUUAGAAACUAGGGCAGGCUCAGAGAACUCAUCUGUGAAAUGGAUGAACUCUGGCCAUUUCCAAUCUUCUGUCACCCACCUAAGAUUCAGAUUUCUGGGAAAAAGUGCCGAUUUGGAGCAGCCUGGAUUCUGUGCUAAGUCUUUAGACAGGGGAAGGCUCAACAAUAUGAUUGACAGCCCCUGAGGGAAAUCUGGGUACAGUUGGUGGAAGAAGGGGAAUGAUGGUGUUACAAAUUACACAUCUUCACUGCAAAAAUACACAGCGUGAAAAAUAAAGUGACACAUGGAUUCUCCAUAGAAGCAAGCCCUCUGAUUUUACUGUUUGCUAAGUCUUUGUUAAAAUAAAAUUUCUUAUUCUGGAGUGGAAAGAAGUAAAGGGGUUAGUGACUUAGUUAUAUACGAAGUAGCUAGCUGAAUUUGACUCUAAGGAUUGAAUAUAAUAAGCUUGGGAUUAUCCCAUUUCCACACCACCCCCACCCCCGCCAGCUUCAAUUGUUUUAACUCUCUAAGCCUUGAAUUUCUCCAUCUGUGACAAAUAGUAAUGGGAUUAUUUCAAGGGUUAAAUAGAUAAUGUAUGUGAAAAUGUCUCAUAAAUGGUUUUUGAAAGUUUUGAAGUUAUAAGAGGAAUUGUCAUUAUGUAGAGAAUGAAUACUACUAACCUUCCAUCUUUUUAAAGAAUAAAACAAAAAAACAAUGUGACCAGAUUUAGGAGGUAUUUAAGGAAAACCUCAGAGUCACUUCAGAGUGACAGUCAUUGAAAUGGGAUACUAAAAGAGGUACAGAAAUCUCCUUAUCUGGCUGUGUUCAAAAUAGAAUGUAUUUUUAACAUGUGAAUUUCUUUAAAGCACUUUUGCUAAAAUAAAGCUAGGAAUGUACUAGACAACCUCUAAAAUUCUUCUCAACACUGUUUUUCUUCAUGUUGAUUUUCUCAUUCUGAAACUCUAAAAAAGAGAUGAUGCUGUUAUUAAAAUUAUUUUCUUAUAUUUUGAAGCUUUUGCCUUUCUUGAACUUUAUCCAUUCUACAGCACCUAUGAAAAAUUUUUAAAAAGACAAUAAACAACAGAUUUGCUUUGAUAAUGGUCUCCAGCCCAAUAGAGAUUUUUUUCUUUGUAUCUAAAUCCCAUACGUGAUUGUAAUGAUUACAUCUAUGUUGAUUUUUUUUUUUUUUUUUUUUGGUGUUCAAAAGUAAAAUAUCAGAUGAAGGUUUUUGUGGGUGACAGUGAUUUUAAUUGGAUUCUUGGCCACAGGGUACCAAAACAGCCUAUGCUUUUUCAUAGGGAAACUUUCUACUCCUGCUUCUAUAAAUCUUUGAGAGUUUUCUCAUCUUUUUUUUUUGUUUUGAGACGGAGUUUUGCUCUUGUUGUCCAGGCUGGAGUGCAAUGGCACAAUCUCGGCUCACCGCAACCUCCGCCUCCUGGGUUCAAGCGAUUCUCCUGCCUCAGCCUCCCAAGUAGCUGGGAUUACAGGCAUGCGCCACCAUGCCUGUCUAAUUUUUUGUAUUUUUUAAUAGAGACAAGGUUUCUCCAUGUUGGUCAGGCUAAAUCUCAAACUCCCAACCUCAGGUGGUCCGCCCGCCUCGGCCUCCCAAAGUGCUGGGAUUACAGGCAUGAGCCACUGUGCCUCUUGGCUUUUUAAUAGUCUAAAGGAAUCUAUGGACUUUUCAUGGCCAAUUUGAUGAGUCAGCCACCUCUUUUUCUAAGAUUGGUUUACUGCUUUCUCCCUUCUCUCCAGGACUCUUGGGAGUUGAAUCACCAUGGAGUCUCUGGUAACUAUAUCAACUUUCAAAAUCCCUUUCUAUAAUUUCUUUUCUCUUUUAAUAUCUUGCAGAUACUUCCUAGCCACAUUUUCUUCUCCUCCCUUUAUCUUUGCAGUUCUUUAUUCAUUUUAUACCCAUGACGGCCAUGUAAAAAUAGCAGAUGAAUAUGAGAUAUUUAAAAUUCCUUGUUUUCUUGGCUAAAGUUAAUUCGUAAUCCCAAGGCAUGCCAUAUUGCCUUUCUAGGAUGUACAUCUAAGUUCAUUUUCAUCAGAGGAGGGUUCUGAAACAAAGGAAGACUUCAGCAGUGGACUGAGACUGAUAUUUUUUUCUUUUUCGAUAAUAAAAAUUUCAAAAAAAUACAGAAGAGUGCACACAACAUCAGUAUUGAGUCGUGUGUGUUUUUCCAUUGUCAAUACAUGUAUAUCUGGAUUUUUUGAUCUGGGUCAAUAUAACCAUAACCUCAGAAGAUUCUUCAUGCUCCCUUCCAGUCAAUACUCCCAAGUUCCGAAGGAUGACCACUAUCCUGACUUCUGGUAACGUAGAUUAGUUUUGUUAGUAUUUGAUCUUGGUAUGAAUGAAGGCAUACAAAAUAUAUAUUCCUUUGUCUCUGGUUUAUUUUACUCAACAUUGUGUUUGUGGAAUUCACCCACGUUGUUAACUUGUAAUUCCUUUAUUCUCAUUGCUAUGUAAUAGCAGUGCCUCACAGAACUUUCUGUGGUGAUAAAAAUGCUUUCUAUCUCUUCUGUCCAAUACAGUCGCCACUAGCUGCAUGUGACUAUUGAGUUGUGAAAUGUGCCUAGUGUAACUGAGGAACUCAAUUUUUACUUUCAUUUAAUUUUAUUAAUUUACAUUUAAAUUUACAUGUGACCAGCAGCUACUGUACUGGACAGUACAGUUGUAUGACAUUUUAUUUUAUAAAUAUGCUAUAAUUUGUUAUAAUUAUAUAUAUAUAAUUAUAUCCUAUUAUAAAUUUGGGCAUUUCUGGCUGAUAAAAAUACUGCAAAUAUAAACAUUCCUGUACCUGUCUUUGGUGAACAUAAGUCUGCAUUUCUUUGGAGUAUGUAUCUAGCAUUUGGAAUUCCUGAGUCAGAAAGUAUGCAUAUAAUCAGUUUUAGUACGUAGAUACUGCCAAUGAGUUUUCCAGAGUGAUCAUACCAGUUUACAUUCCCACAAGCUGUAAGAGUUCUAGUUGCUCCACAUCCUUGACAACAGCAUUUGGUAUUCUUUUUGUUUUAGUUAUUCUCAUGGCUGGUAUUACUAGUUUUGGUUUGUGUUUGAGACUGGGUCUCAGCUAUGUUGCCCAGGCUGGUCAAGAACUCCUGGGCUCAAGCAGUCCUUUCACCACAGCUGGGAUUACAGGGGUGUACCACCUCACCCAGUAGUCUUUUUAAUUUGGCUAUUCUGAUGGCUGGAUAGUGGUAUCACAUUGUUGUUUGAAUUUGCAUUUCUUUGAUAACUAAGCAUCCUGAGCACUUUUUUAUAUGUUUACUGGCUAUUUGGUUAUCUCUUAUAAAAUACAUUAAUUUUUUACCCUUUUUCCAUUGGCUUGUCUGAUUUCUCAUUGUUUUGUAGGAGUUCCUUUUAUAUUAAGGACAUACAUCUUUGUUGAGUAAAUGGCUUACAGAUGUCUAUUUUGUGGCUUUUUGUUUUCUUAAUGGUUCUUUCAGUGAAAGUUCUCAAUGGUAAGAUAGCCCAGUUUAUAAUUUUUUCCCCUUCUAAUAAUUGCUUUUUUGUGUCCUUUUAAAGUAAUCUUUGCCUACUUAAGGUCAUGUAGAUAAUUUGCUGGAUUUUCUUCGAAGUUCUUUAUUGUUUUACAUUUUACAUUCAGAUCUAAAAUCCAUUUCAGGUGGAUUAUAGAGUAUGGUAUAAGGUAAAGGCCAAGUUUUUAUGUUUUUUAUCUGGAUAUCUAAUUAACCCAAUUCAUUUAUUGAAAUGACCAUCCUUUACCCAGAGCAAUACAGUGUCACCUUUGUCACAAAUCAAGUGAAUGUAUAUGUUUGAGUUUGUUUCGGGACUCUCCAUUCUGUUCCAUUGAUCUAUUUUGUAUAUCUUUGUGCCACUGCUGUGCUCUAUUAAUGACUGAGCUUUGCAAUGUUUUAAUAUUGGGCAGCAGUAGAAGUCACUCAGUGUUGUUUUUCUUCUUUGGGAUUGCACAAGAGCUGAAUUUAUUCCUGUGUACUUUUAAAGAAGAGCAUUUUUUUAACUGGCAGGUAGAUUUCCUAGGGUUAAUCCAAAUGUGUUAAUUGUUCUCUCUAAUGCAGACAUCUUCCUUUUUCUUGAGGCCUCGGUUUAUUUCCUUAUCCAGACUGUGUUAGCUGCAUAGCUUAGUAAAAGGACUUUUAUUUUUCCUAGUUUGAUAAUACGGUUUUCUUUUUUAGAUCAGUGUCCUUAUUUAUGAAGGGUGAUGGUGGCUUCAUUAUUAUUCAGUGAUGUUCUUUCUCACUUUAAGCAUUUCCUCUAACAAGAGUUGGAGCUGGACACUGAGUGCAAUGGAGUUCUACCAAAUUCCCCUUCCACAAAUCGCUUUUUGGGCCAACAUGGCUCUACAGCACCGGAUUUUGCAUCAGAAUCCCUUCGAGUUUCUUAUCUUCACCAUCUGUAGCAUUUAGAUUGAAAAGGCUUACCUGGGUUUUCUUUUUUUGUGUUUUAUGAUCUCAAGCUAUUGGGAGUAGACCAAUUCGUGUGGCUCAAUAUGAGAGUUAAAGUUACGUCAGAAGGUAAUGAAAGCUGAUUUUGCCCUUUUAUUAACUAUAGUAUUUUAAUCCUGGUAUGUAAAAUUAUUACUCAUUUGUGCCUAAUGCAGAUAAUGGGAAGCAGCUCACUGUGGUAAAGUAGGGGCAUUAAGCACAGGUGCAACUGUAAACAUGUAUCCACAUACACACGUAUACACACACUCAUGUAUGCCAGCAAUGACCUUUGGACACUACAUUGUAUAUGUAUGUGGGAAUAAAACUGAUGGACGUCCAGCAUUAUCUCUAAAUUGUACACAUGCAGUGACUGUCUUUGCAUAAUGUUCCCCCAGCUUAUGCUUGGUGGCCUAUCUGCAUUGUUUUUCAUCUCAUCUCAAAGUAACCUAGCUCAGCUUGUCUUCAGCUCAUGCACAGCUUCCACAGCCACAGCUCAGUUCAUCUUUAGCUAAUCCAAAUCGUUUAAAAUUGGAUGAAAGGAAGAAAAUUAACACUUGAGGGCAGAGAUUGGGCCUUAAUUACUUAAACCUAGUUCAGUAUUUGACAUAUGGUUCUACUCUGUUGAAUGAAUUAACGAGUGAACACUUGUUGACCGUGAUGGGUUUUGUGUACUGUGUGGUAUACACACAAGAACACAACUACUGGAGUCAUACACAACUUGGUUUGAAACAUACUCUACGACAAAACUGUUGUGUGGUGUUAAGCAAAUUAAUGUCUCUGAAUUCCAGUUUUCUUAUUUCUAAAAUAGUGGUGAUUCUAAUGCCUAGUUCACAAUGUGUUUUGAGAAUUACAUAGUCUGGAAAAGUUGAAAGUGUUGUCCAUUGUUAAAUGGAGAUGAUGUUCUUUAGUCAUUCAACAAAUGUUUGCUAAGUAUCUCCUAUGUUGUAGUCAACAGAAACUGAUAUGGCUGAUUAAAAAAAAAAAAUAGCACUCUAAGGAACAUUACUGAUUGGUCCAAACACAUGAGCGAACUCUGCUUUAGCAGCCUGUCUCUAAACUGCUCUCAGCUGCUUAGACAAACCUGCGCAGAAUGACCAGGAAUUGACAGCCACCAUAUAAAACACAUGUGGCAUAGUUUAACGCAUUUUAGUAGGAAGUUGUGAAGCUGGUCAUUUGGCUGUUCUUGGUUAACUCCUGGCAAAGCAUCAGAUGAAUACUUUCCUUGUUCUUUUAAACCAAGUAAUGUAUUGUUUUCCCUUGUUAAUUUUAAAACAAUGCAUCUAUUUUCAGUUAGGCAGAAUAUAUUUGUUGGAGCCAAGGAAAGUGAAUGCCUGAAUGGAGGUCGAGGGAGGAUAUGAGAAAUGCUGGGGCAUUUCCUUCUCAUUUUUACGCCACUGGAGAAGUCAUCUCAGUGAUGCACUUAGUUUUUGCUAUUGUAGAAAAUCAGGGUAGUGCUUACUUAAUAUUUAGCAAAGCAAUAGUUUCCUUCAUUUUAAUAGCAUGUAUCAAAACCUAAAAACUUGUUGCUUCUCAGGAAUUGUAGUCUUAUUCUUUAUUAUAUUGUUUUGCCCUAAAUUACUUACACCUGCUAUGCAAUUAUGUUUUUAAAUAGUAUGUUGUUAACCUACUCAUGAUUUUCAUUAGUACAAGCAUGUAUAUCCAAACAUGAAUAUCAGCAAGAAAUGCACUUUAAAAAAUGACUUUUUGUGUCAUUUCAUGUUAUAUUAUGAUACUUUUCCUUUCAGGAGAGAAAAAAAUAAGCUCUUCAUUAAUAGCUGCAGUUACUCAUUUUGGCUUUUCCCGUAUAAAUGUAUACUUUUACCACCUUUAUUUUCCUGAUUUUAUGUUUCUUAAAGUGAAUUUGUUAAGAAGAUACCUUUAAGUUGUUGCUACCACUUUGUAAGAUGCAUAUGCAGUUGUUGUUUUUUUUUUUUUUACUAUCUUGUGUUAUUUGUUAAAACUGAAAUGUAACUGAAAGGACUGGCAUAUAUCAAGAAAUGUGAUAUCCCCGCUGAGAUGAGCAGUAGUAUUGGAUUGGCUGGUAGGUUAUCUGCUUCUGUCAAUGUGCACACUUCCUUUGUGGUAAAAAGUAUAACGGUUUUGAACUAAAAAGAAGACUGUACUGAGUGUUGUCGAUAUUGGCCUCCCUGUGAGGUGGUGAAACGUCCUUAAAAACAGUGCUUCUGUGGUAAGAGUUCAGUUAAUUAGGUGAUUGUGUGUGCAUUCUCUAAGGCACUAGCCUAGUCUUUCUUCUCUUGACCGUCUUCUAGCCAUUUUACUAUCUACUGGGCAGCUGGUGGAUGGCAACAGGAUGAGAUCAUGUAGCUGUUUGAUUGUAUUAAUGGAACACUGCAGUCAAAGUACCUCACUAAAGUUGGGGAUUAAAAUACUUUUAGAUUCACCUUUCAGUUGACCUUGAUCCUUGGCAUAAAAUAAUCAAUACCAUAUGCUUUGUGGGUGGCGUGUAUCAGUGUUGUGCAGUUUUUGCCAGCCAUGGAGGAGAAUGGUGGCCCAGAGGAAGGGGUGCCUUUUUCUCUCUACAGCACUCUCUUUUUGCCAGACUCUAUAAACAGAAAGUGGAGAGGUGGGUACAUUAUUCUCAUAUGCACAGAAGUGCCACAUAUUCCAGUGAUGACAGCUUUGGGUCUUCCUAACUGAAUGUGAGGUUGAGAACAUUGAUUUUGUGUUCUAGAGUAUUGCUUCUCGAACUUGAAUAUGUAUACAAAUCAUGUGAGGCUCUCAUUAAAAUGCAUAUUUGUAUUUCAGUAGAUCCAGGGUGGGCCUGAGAUUCUGCUUUCCUCACAAGCUGAUGCUGAAGCAGCCCAAAGUAAAGGCCUCUUGGAAGUAACUGACUCUCUGCCACCAGAGGCAAUAUGAAAUCACCAGUAGGCUACCUUUUGGAGAGAAGAUCCCAGAAAAUACUUCAAUAGGAUUUUGGCCAUGAGACAUUCAGCAAAUUAUUUAAACUCUCCAUGCUAUGCCUUGUCGGAAAUGUGAGGAGAUAAUAGUAUUCACUUUGUAUGGUUAGUGUGAGCAUUAAUGACAAUAUAUAGAUGCAAAACUUUUGGGACAAUAACAUCAACAUAGUCAGUGUCUACUAAAUGGUUGUUGAAUUCUUCCCAGAAAGUGCUAGGUCAGGAGAAAUGUAUAUCUGUUUGGGGAAAGUGCACAGUAUUUGAGAAGAAAUUGCUUAUUGUUUAAAGACAUACAAGAGGCUAUGAUCCAAGAAUGAGACUUGGGUUCCAUGAUCCGGUGCAACAGUGGUUUCUUGGGAGCAGUGGCUGGCCUCUGGUAGGAUUUAAGGCAUCAGAAUGUCAAUGAAAGUGGGGGCCCUUCUGAAGGGGUUCAUGGAUUUCUGUCACUGCUGAGAUAAAGGAGUCUUAACUUUUUUCCCUUGACUGCAGGGUGUUUGUAAGGUAAGGAAGGAGGCAGAUAGUCGAAUAACGAAAGAGGCAAAGGGACAGAAGAAAAAGGGAGAGAAAUAACUUUAGCCAACCACUUCUGGGCCUUUUUCAUUUAAUAUGCUCCAAAAUGUGAGGUAAGUAGUAGUGUUCUAAUUCUACAGAUGAAAAAUGUUUAAAAUACCUGCCCCAAAUAACUCAAUUUUUAAGUUUAUGGGGCUGGAUUAAGCCCAACCCAGAAUUAGGCUUAAUUCCCUAAAGGCAGCUCGUAUACUUGACUCCAUAAACACCUUUGGCACCUAGGACACAUGUAUUUAAUUUUCUUGUGCAAAAGAGUAAAUGCAGUUACCUGUGGCCACUCCAGCUGUCUUUCCACCACUUCAGCCAGCUAAAGUUACUGCCGUGUCCCCAGGACCUAGCAAAGGGCCUGACCCACAGUUAGGCUCAGUAAAUACUAUGGAAUGAAUGAGUCAGUAUUUAAUCAGAGAGCCGAUUACAUGAUACCACUAUUAUUAUGGAUCUUUUAAACUUUUAACUCUGAUACCACCUAUUUGAUUUCUCCUUCUUGACUGUACACUCCUUUUACUUGUUCUUUAUGUUUUUUGUUAAUCCACACACUUCACAUCGACUUAAAUAAUUUUUAAAAUGCCACCAAGUAUUUUUCAUUUCUCUUCGAGCCAGAGGAAGUGUAAGACAUGUACUUUGCUUAUGGGGACUUGCAGUCUCAUUGGAGAGGCAAGAUACUUAACAAAAUUAUUUAGUUCUUUAAUGUGCAGUCAAGGCAGAGUUUCUAUAGGAAAGCUCAUAUAUUCUUUCUUUCUUUCCUUAUUUCCCUUUCUUUGCCUCCUUUCCUGCUGUUCUGGGUUGGUGCAUGUAGUGAUGCAUCUGGCAGUGCUGGGUGUUUGUCCAUUUUCUGACCAUUUCCCAUGGCGAUAUCUUUGUUAGGAGCCAGGGAAGGCAUCUUAAUUACCACUGCAGUCUUGGGAUAAUGAAAUGCACAACUCUAUGAAAAACUUGGUCACAAAUCAAGAAAGUGAUUGGAAAGCUUAUGCAGCAGAAAAAUAACUUGCCCAUGAAUUAUGAAACACCUCUGGUAUGUGAACAUAGCUGUACACUUGAAAUUAAGAAGCUUGUUUCUAUAAAUACUAGAUCCUUUUUUCUUUUUCUCAAAUAGAAAAACAUUUUAUAAAUAUAAAGAUAAAUAUGUUCAUUGUAAAAAUUCAGAUAACAUAGAAAAGCAAAAGAAGAAGGAAAAAAUCACUUGUAAUCUCACUGUGUGAGAAAGCCACUGGAUUUUAUGGUAUAUUCACAUACUGAGAUUUAACUUUGCACAUACAAAUGUAGGUUCACUGUCCCACAUCUAAAACUUCUUGGGACAGUUUUCUUAGAUUGUAGAAAGAUAAUGUGAGAAAACCCCCAUUGAGGUUUGGAGUUGUACUGUGUAAUCAAAUACAUUAACAUUUUAGCAGCAAAGUAUGUUAAUAUUUGCAAUUAGUGGAACAAAUGAAGAUUGUAAAUAGCUUUGCAGCAGGUUACAUUUCCCAUAAAUUAAUUACAAAAAAAGUCUUUUCAGUUCUUGGAAAUUUGGAGAUUUCAGUUAAUAAGUAAGAGAGUAUGGACUUAUAUACAAAAUAGUGAUUUUUUUUAAUCGAGUAUAUAUCACAAGUACUUUUUUCUGAGUUGUUUUCUCACUUGUGCCAUAAUGAACAUCCUUGCAGGAUAAACUGCUAGCAAUGGAAUUGCUGGGUCAGAAAAUACACACAUUUUUGAGGCUUUUGAUAAAGAUUAUUCAAUUGCCAUCCAGAAAGAUCAUACCAGAUUACUGUGUGGCAUCUGAACUUGCCUGUUUUUACCACGUCGUUACCAACUCAGUUUUAUUAGUGUUUUAGGUCUUUCCAAUCUAAUUGGUGAAAGUGAUACUUUAAUCUACAUUUUUGAAUACUGAUGAUGUACUUCAUUUCAUAAACGUUUGGCUGUAAAAUUUCCUCUAUAUUCAUUCCAGAGAUUAAGAUAUUUUCAAAUCAUUAAACUGGGGCUGUUAUCUUAGGUUGUUCUGGAGAUACUAAUUACAUGUCAGGUAGUAUCAGUUGCAUUGGUUAUUUUAUUUAGAAAUUAUUUUUUUUUUAACUUUAAGUUCCGGGAUACAUGUGCAGAAUGUGCAGGUUUGUUACAUAGGUAUACAUGUGCCAUGGUGGUUUGCUGCACCAACCAACCUGUCAUCUAGGUUUUAAGCCCCAUGUGCAUUAGGUAUUUGUCCUAAUGCUCUUCUUCCCCUUGUCUCCCACCCCCUGACAGCUCCCAGUUUGUGAUGUUCCCCUUCCUGUGUCCAUGUGUUCUCAUUGUUCAACUCCUACUUAUGAGAGAGAACAUGCGGUGCUUGGUUUUCUGUUCCUGUGUUAGUUUGCUGAGGAUGAUGGCUUCCAGCUUAGAAAGUAAGUUUUGUUGAAGAGCAAAUGUUUCCGUAAGUGCUGGCAAUCCUGAAGGACUCUUUCAAGAAUCAUUUGGACAGAAUUUUCCUGAAUAUGAAAGCAGUAUUUAAUGGCAUUGACAGCUAAAGGCUUCAGGUUGAAUUAUCUCCAAGUGUAUGAUCGACUUUUAAGUGAGAAUAAGCAAGUUUAUGCCCCAUGUUCCUGUGCAGUUAUCUCAUGCAGUUUUCUGACAGUGUAAAAUAUUACAGCCCCACUGCAUGCUUUAAAAGAGAAAUUUUGAAAUUUUAUUCUUUCAUUUUGUAGAGUCUGAAAAGAUUUCCCCUAAGCCUGAAGCAGUGAUAAGCUUUGGAAUCACCUGGGGGGCUUAAUUACCAUGCAGACACCUGAGCCCAGCCACCAGAGACUCUAAUCCAGUAAGCCUUAGACUGUCUUUUGAGAAAGGUAGCCCAGCUCUGAUUUUAAUCAGAUUAUUAGAACAAUAGUAAUACUCAUAGGCGUGGUUUUGUAGUUGUAAAAACAGGAAUUGUUACUAUAAUAGCAGUACUAAUAAUUGUAAAAAUUUCUAUUAAUGGUAAUGUUAUGAAUCUUUUAAGUAUAUCUGAUAACUCAGCGAUGUUCCAAGUUCCACAUUCAAUGAAUGGGCAACUUCUGGAUUUGCCUUUCUUAACAUCUAACUUAAUUUUAUUUCUUGGUAAUAGAGGAUGAGUACUUGAAAUUAGGGCCAUUCUUAACUUCUGAACACAGAGAAAACUUUUUUAUCACAAAAAGUCAUUUUGGGAGGGAGGAAUUAGUUUUCUUUAGUUGAACAAUAGACUAUUACAGACAAACCAGAAAUUUUCUUAUUGCCAUUUCACUUUUGUAUAAUUUAUUAUAUUUUGUAUUUUCUUCCUCUGUGUGUGUGUGUUUCUUCGUGUGUCUCCUUUAAAAUGAUCCCAUAUAGAAUCUAGCUGUUGUAAGCAUUGUUCUGACCAAUUUAUACAAAAAAUAAUAGCUGCAUCGUUUUCAAACAUGUUGAUGUGGUUCAGCAUUUUGGAGUCAAAGAAACUGAAAAGAAUGUUAGGCUACACCAGCUUUAAUUUGGAUCAACCCAAAAGACUUGCUAAUUAUUUUACCUAAGCACUAAUUAUUAUGUGAACUUUAUUCUUAAAACAUAAACAGGGCCGGGCACGGUGACUCACACCUGUAAUCCCAGCACUUUGGGAGGCCGAGGCGGGCAGAUCAUGAGGUCAGGAGAUCGAGACCAUCCUGGUCAACAUGGUGAAACCUUGUCUCUACUAAAAAUAUAAAAAAGUAGCCAGGCGUGGUGGUAGACGCCUGUAGUCCCAGCUACUCGGGAGGCUGAGGCAGGAGAAUGGGGUGAACCCGGGAGGUGGAGCUUGCAGUGAGCCAAGAUCGUACCACUGCACUCCAGCCUGGGCAACAGAGCGAGACUCUGUCUCACAAAAAAAAAAAAAAAAAAAAAAAAAAAAAAAGCCGGUGUGAACUUCUGUUAACUCCACUGCCCAUAUCUCUUUUGUUCUAGAAAUUGAUUAUUUACAGUUUCCACAGUCAGCUUUUUGCUAAACUAAAAGUGUAAGUAUGCCAAAAUGUGGUACAAGAGAGCAAGCUUAUCAUCCAAGUAGAUGCAGGAUAGAUCAUUAAUCUUCCACACACUUGCUCUAGCAAGUGUUCAGCCUACCAGGCAAAAGGGCUGGGCUUUAUCUAAGAUCAGCAAGUCUGAUCCAGCUUGCCAGAAAGCCAAAUUAUCCAAGUUGAUAUGGAAAUUCCAAAAGGCAUCCCAUCACAUCCUUGUAAGGGCAUUUACAUUUUGCCUGUUUUGAGAGUGAUUUCACAAGAUUUUUUUGUGUGUUUUGUUUUAGGGUUUCCCUAAAAUAUGGAAGGUAUGUGUAGCCUGGCUGUCAGGUAUGAGGAAACAGGCACGGGUUUUAGGUGACCUCCCAGAAGUCACACACAGCCCUGGAGUGGCAGUUAGAAAACUGGCAGUUCACUUUUGAGCAUUUUUUUUCUCUCCACUUAAAAUAAGGUGUGUAUAUAUAUGUGUGUGUGUGUAUAUGUAUAUAUACACACAUACAUACACACACUUGUGCUUUAAUGAAAGGUUUGGACUAGAAAUGCUAGUGUCAGAAAUUAUUUUGCUUCUCACCCUUUUUACUCUCAGCUUCCCACAGGAGAAUCACUUGCCUGCCUGUCAACCAGAUAGAGCCUGCCUGGAAGGAGUCACCUUUAGCCCCUGGGGAAAGGAAGGGAAUUAUCAUUUAGUGAGAGCUCACCCUUACUGGGCUGUCUGUUCCCACUGAGAUGUUCUAGGAUCUUCCUUUAAACACUUAAACAUUUUCCAUUUUCCUCCUUACAGUCCCUGCUUCUAUCCUCUCCCUUGCAUAAGUAAGGAAACUGAGGCUUUGUGAGGUGAAAUACAAUUCAGGUUGCAGAGUGAGGAUGAAGUGAGGAUGAGGCAUCUCUAGCGUCCAACACCCAUGCUGCCUUCUCUAGGGAAUAGCUUCCAUCAGGCAGCUGGGCAUUCAGGUCCAUCCUUGCAGCCUGAGUCUGUGACCAAGUCCACUUAUGGAGUGGGAUCUGGGGCUCCUCAAACUUUAAUCUUGUUUAUCUAGUCUGCUUCUCCUCCACAAGUACAGAUCCUGCCAUUCUGGGCUGACCUCUUCUAACGACCUGUGUUGCUCAUGAGCUCUUCCCACCCCUGCCCUGAUUAGCUGAGAUACCAGGCACUUCUUCCAGGCUUUGCUCACCUCUUCAUCUAACAGACCAUUGACACCUGCUUGGAGAUUGAUGACAGCUACAAAUUUUACUUACUCCUAAGAUUAUAAGUUCCCUGUGAUACUAAGGCCUGGCCCAAAUUGCAAAAUUGUUAAAGCAGAAACUCCAGCUUGCAUGUUGAAGGAAUACGUGAAGUAAAAGAAAGCUGUGAAAUAGGCUAACUCAGUUACCAUAGCUUAUGGUUAAGAAAGCUGCACUGGCUGAUUGGGAAGCAGUUGCACACUCUCUAGGACCAUUAAGGUCAAACUUGGGUGAAAUUUUGCAGCCUCCAUUCAAAUUUAUCCUGUUUUGUACAAAAACAAAUUGGCGUUCAUUUUUCUAACUUGGGUUAGGUUUUGUAAACCCUGUUCUGAAGACUAAGACCAGAACUCAUUAUCAAUAACAGUUUGUGGAUUCCUGAUUUUAUGAAAACCAUCUUGAUCUUUCUUCCUUUAUUAUUUUUAGCAUUCUUGUUUUCCUUUUUAGUAUUUUAAAACUAAAUAUUUUAGCUGAUAUUCCAUGUCAAACCAAGUAUCUCAUCUUGUAAUGUCAUAAUCUGUUAAGACAUUCCUCUCAACUUUGUAAGCAAGGCUUUUAUUAUGUAAGUCAGCAACAAAGGUGGGAUUUUAGAUUAAGGAGGAUGCUAGUGCUAAUUGCCAAAGUAAUCAUACUGAAAAGCAUUCUUGUUGAAACUCAGACAUAUACCACAAGUAAGAGAAAAUGAUAUUCUUCAUCAGAUGAAAUAUUUGGAAAUUAAUUAUUAUGAUAACAAGUGAAAAGCAAACAAAAUACUCCUUACAAAUAUAUUUUUACAAAUUUAUAACUUGUUUAAGGUGUAAGAACAUUCUGAAAGUUUCAUUUUGCAUCAGCCAGUGAGUUUUAAUGUAAUGCUAAGAGGUGGAGGCAUUAGUAACCCUAUUUAUGAUAAAUAUAAAUUCAGAAGAGUUAGGUAACUUGUUAUGGUGUGAAUGUGUGUCCCAUCAAAAUUUGUAUGUUGAGAUCCUAACCCCUAAGGUGAUGGUAUUGGGAGGCGGGGCCUUUGGGAGGUGAUUCAGUCAUGAAGGUGGAGCCCUCAUGAAGGGGAUUAGUCCUCCUAUAAAAUAGGCCGAAGGAAGCUAGUUCCCUUCUACUCAGUGAGGACACAGCAAGAAGCUGCCAUCAAUUAAUUAAGAAACUGGCUCUCAGCAGACACUGAGUGUGCCUGUGCCUUGAUCAUGAACUUCCUAGCCUCCAGGACUGUGAGAAAUAAAUGUUUGUUGUUUAUAAGCCACCCAGUUUAUGGAAUUUUUAAAUAGCAACCCAGAAGGACUGAGACUGUAACUAGACUGAAACUGUAAAAGUAUAGGAUGGUAGCGUUCAAACCAGGAUUUCUAGGGUAGCUGUGUGAGGAAUGCAGAGGAGAGUAAGGUUCUCUGCCCCCAAGGUAUGUGCCAUUUUGUGAGGGCACAGACACUUAUAAGACAUUGAGGGAGCCUAAGAGAAAGAGUAGCUCCAGCUCGGCCUAAGGAGGAAGAGGCAGGACGGCUCUGCCAGGUGAUGGUAUCUGUACUGCUCUUGAAGAUGGGAGGGUUUGGACAGAUGAAUGAGAGUGGGAGCAGAGUGAAGGCAGAGAGUAAGAAAGUACAGGAACAGUCCCAGGAAAGUUGAGUAAUUUAGGGACUAAAUACACAGAUGGGCCAGGUUUUGUGGUGAGAGAUAAGGCUGUAAAGGUGUAGGGGAAUUGUAUUGUAAAGAGCCUCCAAUUCCACAUCCUGGAGAUUGAUUCUAACCACUGUGGAGGCUGCCCAAGAGCCCUUGGGCAGGAAACAGAUGUGAUAGGAGUUUGUGUUUUUGGAAUACAGGUGGCAUGAGAGUGUGACAGUGUGGUACUACUAUCGGGUACUACACAGGUGGUGUGAGAGUGUGGUACUUUCUGGAAGCAAGAUCGUGACCAGGAGUGAGGAGCCGGAGUGAAAGGAUGGACAUGGAAGAGAAAUGGCAGCUUGAGGAUUCAAGCAAGUAUUUUUAUUUUGGUUUGCUUGUUUGGUUCUUUAACUUCAGGAGAGAACCGAGUGUGUUUGUUGGUCAGUGGAAAUUUGCUGGUAAAGAGGGAAACUAUUUGACAGUAUACAAGCAAUAUAAAAUACAAAGAAAUGGAGAAGCAGGACACUCAUUGCUUUGAAACUGUUGGGAGCAAGCAGAGAAUUGGUGAAGUUUAAGGUUUUGAGAAGAAGGCGGCUUUUAACAGACAGUGCUAGUCAAUUUUGUCUGAACUGGUACGGUCUUCUGCCAAGAAAGAAGGGUAAGUAAGUGGAGAAUGGGAGUAAGGAUUGUGGGAAAACAUGAAGGAAAAAAACUGCAUGGAGAAGCCAGGUGUGGUAGCACACACCUGUAAUCCCAAUACUUUGGGAAGCUGAGGCAGGAGGAUAGUUUGAUCCUAGAAAUUGGAGUCCAGCCUGGGCAACAUAGCGAGGCCCCAUCUCCACUGCAUGGAGUGUAGAUAAUUAGGAAUUAGUGAACGGGAGUGAACCUGAGAUGAAUAAAAGAAUUGUCUGUGCACCCAGUAUCUAACCACAAGUAGAUAUUAUCAGCCUGCCUUACUGGUAGUGAGAUUCCGUAUAGUUAUCCCACAGUUUUCCAUGAAAAUGGAGAACAUUGAUAACAUGAAUAAUUAAAAUCUCCAGAUGAGCUCUAAAUCUCAUUUUAGCAAUAAGCUUCUAUUGCAGUAAAAUAUCUUAGUGUCUCCUGAUGGAGUGACAGAAGGAUCUUUUUUGACUGUGUUAUUCGUACAUGUGUUUCUGUUAGAAUGUGGAAUACCUCUGGCCUCCACAUUCUAAAUUUCCUACUUAUUGAAACUUAGACGUAUACCACAAGUAUGAGACAUAUACCACAAGUAUGAGAACAGCUCAGCAGUCUUAGAUAUCUCAAAGACUCCAGGAUUACUGAUUGACUUAGUAACUGUGUCAGGCCAAGGAGACCUGAUUGAGUCAAGAAAUAGCUUUGAGUACUCUGUUAACUUGGUGAACAGGUGGACUCUGGAAGGGCUGAGUACAUCCCAGAGUGGACAGGUUGGCAGCAGGUAACAAAAUUUAAAGGGCAUAUUGUCUUUCCUGUAGCAAUUCCACCCUGCAGAAUUUGCUCUGCUAGAAUGCAAGCUUUUGAGGCGGCAGGGAUCAUGUCUUUGUUCUUGCUGAAUCAGCAGCACCUAGCACAGUUCCGUGCAUUUGAUAUGUGCUUAAUACAUAUUUGUUAAAUAUGUGAUUGAAACACUCAUAAAAGUGCAGAGACGCCAUUCUCUGCCCAAGUUCUCUGAGGUCCAGUCAGAUGGUCUUUUGCCUCUGACCUCUGCUGUCUUUCGCCUCUGACCUCUGCUGUCUUUCCUCCUGCACUGCCUUUGCACGUGCCACCCACCUCUUCAUUCUUCCAGAUUAUUUUAUGAGAUGCUUUCAUAUGAUUAUAUUCCUUUUUUUUCCUAGUCAUGUAGUCCAUUUUUUGAUUUUUUUUUUUGUUAAUGUGAUUCUUUGAAUAAUGCCUGUGUCUCUCAUUAAGUGUGGGAUAGUAUCCACUCACUCUUAUAUCCCUAGAACAGUGCCUGGUAAAAAGCAGAGUACACACACACACAGACACACACACAGACAAACACAUGCACACAUUAGUGAAUGAGACCGGACACAGUAGCUCAUGCCUGUAGUCCCAGCACUUUGGGAGGCUGAGGCAGGUGGAUCGCUUGUGACCAGGAGUUUGAGACCAACCUUGCCAAGAUGGUGAAACCCCAUCUCUACUAAAAAUAAAAAAAUUGGCUGGGUGUGGUGGUGCAUGCCUGUAAUCCUAGCUACUCGGGAGGCUGAGGCAGGAGAAUAGCUUGAACCUGGGAGGUGGAGGCUGCAGUGAGCCCAUAUUGCACUACAACACUCCAGCCUGGGCGACAGAACAAGACCUUGUCUCAAAACAAAACAAAACAAAAAAACGGGUGAGUGAGAUUUGGUUGGUACAGCAUUGUUUAUAAUAGUGAAAAUUUGGAAACAAGCCAAAUAUCUAUCAAUAAGGAAGUAAAUUAUAGUACAGCUACUCUUUGGAAUUCUUUUCAGCUGAAAUAAACAUUGAAGUAGAACUAUAUGUCCUGAUCUAGAAAGUAAUGCAUGAUAUAUUAUGUCUUUUAUAAAGCAAGUUGCAAACUAUCAGGUAUAAUGUAAUCCUGUUUUAAUAACAAUAUAUGCAAGAAAGAAACAACCUCAAAAUGUAUAUGUUGUAAAAAAUACUAGAUGGAUAUAAUAAAUUCUUAAUAGCAGUUUAUUUCUGAGUUGUAGAAUCAAGGAUCAAUUUUUAUUUUGUUUCCCAUUUGUUUGAAAAAACUCACUUUUUCCUGCUAUAAAUUGUAUUCUCUACUCUUUUCACUUGUUCUUCCAUCUGUCCAUCCAUCCAUCCAUCCAUCCAUCCAUUUAUUCAUUCAUUCAUCAAUCCAUCCAUUAAAUCCAGAUAUUUAAGGAGCACCCAUAUGCCAUGCAUUGUGCUAAGCAGUGCAUCUAUAACUAACAGAUAGGUUGCUCUUGAAUUGCUAACCUGCUAGCUGGGUUACAAGCAAGUCCAUGGGCAAUUUAUAAUACAGUGCAGUAAGUGUUACAGUAGGAGAAACUAUAGCAUACUCUGAAUAGGCAAUAGCCUAGAUGGGAGGGACAGAAUGGCUCCCUAAGACUUUUUAUUAUUUUAACUAAAGAUGAUAUUUAUUGAGCAUCUGUUCUGUCAAAGCUUUGGGUUGAUUUAAGCCCAGUCACUGUCACCCAAGAGCCCAAAAGCUAUUGGAGAGGGAUGAUGGCAAGCUGGUAAUAUAUUGUGCCUUUUAUUAGCAUUAAGUAACAGUAAUGCACAGCAUGUGGGAUAAUGACUUCAGAUUGUAGAGAAAGAGGGAGAAGAGCCUGGAUUAUCCAGUGACAGAACAGUUGGCCUCUUGGUAAUUAAGAGUGGUUCUAUCGUUUCUACAGAUAUUACUCUUCCAUAGACUAAGGGUAUAUGAUAAUUCUGAAUAAAUUUUGUCAUCCCGCUUUCUUGGCCCUUCUUACAAUUCACUUUCUUUAUCUUAAAUGAAGGAUUUCUUGCAUUGCUUUUUUUUUUUUUUUUUUCCAGGGAAAGUGUUUUAAAAGUUAGUGAACAAAAGUUCACUAACUUUUGUUGUUGUUGAUAAUAGUAAUUUCUGAACUAAAAUAAUGGGUUUGAAUGACUGAUGUGGGGGAGCAGGGAGUGGGGCAGGGGAAGUCCCAGUGCCUUCCAGCCUCACAUUGUGGCCCCUGGCCAUCUUGGCACUUAGCAGCUGCUCAGAUCCUGAGUGGCCUCCCUUCACUCAAACAUACGUUUUUUUGGUGUUUCAAUUUGUAGACUAUAAACCAGGAGCAUAAGAAGGAGACAGUCUUAAUGAGAAUCUCAGGGGACACCCCCACCCGAAGUUUUGCCCAGGUCCUGCUUUGGAGGCUCAUCAGCCCAUGGCAGGAGCCCAGUGCUGAAGGGCAAGCCGGCUGAGGGCAGGCCAGGGAGAAGCUGCAUCCUAUGAAAGCAGAGACCAUUCCAGCAUUGUGCUGCCCCUGGUGGCUUCACUGUGAGAUUAAAUUGAAUUUGCCUUUCGAAGUUGGCCACCUCUCACUUUUUUUUCUGUAGACAGUCCUUGCUGGUUACAAAAAGCCCUGGCUCCCUCAUUGUGCUCUCAGCAAAGAUUUAAUAGCUGUGCUCUGCUGCAGUAAGGAUUCAUGUUACUAAGACUUCAUUAUUAUUACAAAACAUUCAAUAGAGCUUCAUCAUAAAUAAUUUUAAAAUCCCUGACAAAGAAAAUAAGCUGAGCACAUUCUGUGAUCCAGCAAACUGAUUUUCCCCGGCAUCAUAGUCGUCUGUUAGCCUACUAAUUCCCCAAACUCCAUAAUUAACAGUGGGCAGCUCUGUUCUGCAGAGAAUUACCCCGGUUUGGCACGGGUGCCUCCUUUGUAAUGGGGCAAAGGGGCGGGUUGGCAGAGUUCCUACCAGUCUCUCAAAUGGGACUUAAGUGUGUUUCCCUUUAUAAUUAAGUAUCAUUGUAAUAACAGACAUGCUUAGUCCUUAGUAGUGUAGAUAACUUCUGGAGGACAAAACACAGCUGCCCAUGCAAUGUGUCAUAUGUUGUCAUUUUCCUCUUUUAUGACAAAUAGUGAAGGAACAGAAAUAAGUAUUUGAAGCUAGAAGGUGUCAGCCAGAUCCACUAUGUUCUGAAGUGCAUAGUAAAUAAUUAGGGUCAUGAAAUGAAUGAAAAUGGUUUGUAAAAUUGAGCUAGUGCCUUCAUUGAGCUAAUGGCAUGAUAAAAGGGGAAGUUGAGGAGGAGCUGUUCUGUAUUAAAAUCUAGAAGAGACAAAAUGUUGUUAGUGCAUGUCCUUUGUUUGUAUCCUGAUUGGAACAAAGAAAUGAGAAAAAAGAAAAGAAAUAUAAUUUUUAGGUAACUGGUGAAAUGUGAAUAUGGACCAGGCUUGAUACCAAGAAAUUAUUCUUUCUUUUGUUAGGCAUGACAGUUGGCAUUGUCGUUGUAUAAAAAAAGUUUUUAUUUUAUUGCUGCAUAUUAAAGCAGGUAGGGAUGAGUGACAGCUUUAGGACAGAUAGGACUUCCUCUGAAAUACUUCAGUAAAACAGUUUUAAAACGUAGAAUAAAUGAAGCAAAUAGUAUAGUAUGGUAAAAUCUUGGUGAUUUUUGAAAGGUUUAUGGGAGUUUAUUUUAUAAUUCUCCAAACUUUUAUGUAUGUUUGAAAUUAUUCCUGGUGAGUGUUUUAAAGUAACUGAGUUCUAGAAGGAAAUAGCUACUGAAGUUUAUUAAGUAAUUCACAAGUGUUCCAAUUUAGCUUCUUUUGUUGUAAAUUUCUACUUUUAAAAAUGGGGAUCAUGUAUUAACUAGGUAAGUGCUAAUAAACUGCCCCCUGCCCCCAGAUUUGUAAAUAAAAUCUGUGAUCAGGCUUCUAUCCAGCAUGUCUUCUACCACUUUGUAACUAAAUGCAAAAUUUUAGGUAUUUUCUAAUUUAGGAAUUGUAUGAGUCCAUUUUCAUGCUGCUGGUAAAGACAUACCCGAGACUGGGCAAUUUACAAAAGAAAGAGCUUUUAUUGGACUCAGUUCCACGUGACUGGGGAGGCCUCACAAUCGUGGCGGAAGGCAAGGAGAAGCAAAUCAUAUCUUACGUGGAUGGCAGCAGACAGAGAGAGCUUGUGCAGGGCAACUCCUGUUUUUUAAAAUGGUCAGAUCUCAUGAGACCCAUUCACCAUUAUGCGAACAGCACCGGAAAGAUCCAUCCUCAUAAUUCAGUCAUCUCCCACCAGGUCCCUCCUGCAACACAUGGGAAUUAUGGGAUCUACAAGAUGAGAUUUGAGUGGGGACACCGAGCCAAACUGUAUCAGGAAUUUUCUGUUUGCCAUUUUCCAGUCCGUUUCUUGUCAUCUCUCACAAGGAGGAACAGAGGGUAUCAAGAGCUGUAAUCCAACUUCAAGGCCAUGUUGGAUUCUUCUGAGGGCCUCAAACCCUGCAGACCAAGAGAAGGUUCUCUCUAGAGUGUCUCCACCUCCCUCCUCAGCUCUGAGGCUUCCUCUAACCAUCUGUGUAACUAGCAGCAGGAUAGUACAGUGCCUAACACUGCAGUCAGAUUCCCCUCACCAAGACUGGAUCUGAGCACCACCACUUACUAGCUGUGAUCUUGGGCAGAUCAGUUACAUUCUGUGUGCUUGAUAUUCUCCUCUGUUAAAGGGGAAUGAUGAAAAUAAAUAGCUAAGUCACAGGGUGGGUAUUAAAUGAACUAACACAUGUGAAGCAAUGACCAGAGUGCCUUGCACAGAGUCGAUGUUUGCUGCCAUUCUGU